rnacentral:rRNA from 1 species
AUUGAACGCUGGCGGCAGGCCUAACACAUGCAAGUCGGGCGAGAGGCGGACGGGUGAGUAAUGUAUGGGGAUCUGCCUGAUGGAGGGGGAUAACUACUGGAAACGGUAGCUAAUACCGCAUACCAUCAGAUGAACCCCUAUGGGAUGAGCUUGUAGGUGAGGUAACGGCUCACCUAGGCGACGAUCCCUAGCUGGGCGUAGAGGAUGAUCAGCCACACUGUGACUGAGACACGGCCCAUACUCCUACGGGAGGCAGCAGUGGGGAAUAUUGCACAAUGGGCGCAAGCCUUAUGCAGCCAUGCCGCGUGUAUAAAGAAGGCCUUCGGGUUGUAAAUUACUUUCAGGCGGGAGGCGUUACCGACAGAAGAAGCACCGGCUAACUCCGUGCCAGCAGCCGCGGUAAUUC